rnacentral:lncRNA from 1 species
CUUUACAACAGCAUUUUUCAAAGUACACUCUAGCAGUUUCAAUUUUCAAAAAAAAUUUGGAAACACUGCAUACCAUGUACCCUUUUUAUGUAGCAAUGAGGUUAAAGAACAGGAUAUUAAAAUCUGAAAAAUCUUGUCAGUUUGUUUUUGUUUUCUAAACUUAUUUGGCUAUGGAAUCCCCUUCUUUCCUUGUCUCUUCUUUCCCUCUUUCCCUCCCUCCUUCCUUUCUUCCAUCUUUCCUUCUCUUCCUUCUUCUUCUUUUUUUUUUUUCAGUGAGGAAGAUUUGGUCCUGAGCUAACAUCUGUUGCCAGUUUUCCUUUUUGCUUAAGGAAGAUUGUUGCUGAGCUAACAUCUGUGCCAAUCCACCUCUAUUUUGUACAUGGGACGCCACCACAGCGUGGCUUGAUGAGCAAUGUGUAGUUCUGUGUCUGGGAUCUGAACCUGCGAAUGCCUGGCUGCCAAAGGGGAGCAUGCGAACUUAACCACUACACCACUGGUCCAGUCCCCCUUCCUUCUUCUUUUAAUAUAACACCUAUAAGCAUUCUGCUUAAAGAAUUUCAUGGAACCCAAUUUGGUUGGUUCCGGGAACGGCGACUAGAGGAAGAAUAUUGCUUUGUCUGGCAUAUUUCCUAUAGGACUGGCUGUGUCCCUAAGUCCCAGCCCUUGUCAAAUGCCUCCCUGGGUUCUGUUUAUACCAUUCUUCCCCUUCCUCCCUUCAGGCCUCAGCCUCUUCUGAGGUUCUGAGCCUCCUCUUGGUUUCGCUACACUCUAAACAGACUUUUGUCGACUGUCUUUUUAUUAAACUCUUUUGAAAUUACACACUGUGAAACUGCCAUGUUUUACCUCAGCCUGCCUUAUAUACACUACAAAGUCAAACAUGUCUGCACGUGUAUGGUUGGCCAACCAGUUAGGGCCCUAUUUGCAAAAAUCUAAAAGAACUUUGUAGGAAGUCCUUCACUCUAGGAGAAGAGUACAGGGUCCUCAACCUUAGUCCUAGGUUGAUAGUCACUGUAGGAAAAUAAUGUAUGUAUGUGUGUGUGUGUGUGUUUUACAAGGUAGUAUGUAUUUGCUGGCUCAUCCUCCCAUCCACAUGCCUACCCUGGAAUAUGAGUGC